AACGAACGCUGGCGGCAUGCCUAACACAUGCAAGUCGAACGAGAUCCUUCGGCGUCUAGUGGCGCACGGGUGCGUAACGCGUGGGAAUCUGCCCUUAGGUUCGGAAUAACAGUUAGAAAUGACUGCUAAUACCGGAUGAUGACGCUAAGUCCAAAGAUUUAUCGCCUGAGGAUGAGCCCGCGUAGGAUUAGCUAGUUGGUGUGGUAAAGGCGCACCAAGGCGAGGAUCCUUAGCUGGUCUGAGAGGAUGAUCAGCCACACUGGGACUGAGACACGGCCCAGACUCCUACGGGAGGCAGCAGUGGGGAAUAUUGGACAAUGGGCGCAAGCCUGAUCCAGCAAUGCCGCGUGAGUGAUGAAGGCCUUAGGUUUGUAAAGCUCUUUUACCCGAGAUGAUAAUGACGGUAUCGGGAGAAUAAGCCCCGGCAAACUCCGU
rnacentral:rRNA from 1 species